rnacentral:rRNA from 1 species
GUGCCAGCAGCCGCGGUAAUACGUAGGUGGCAAGCGUUAUCCGGAAUUAUUGGGCGUAAAGCGCGCGUAGGCGGUUUUUUAAGUCUGAUGUGAAAGCCCACGGCUCAACCGUGGAGGGUCAUUGGAAACUGGAAAACUUGAGUGCAGAAGAGGAAAGUGGAAUUCCAUGUGUGGCGGUGAAAUGCGCAGAGAUAUGGAGGAACACCAGUGGCGAAGGCGACUUUCUGGUCUGUAACUGACGCUGAUGUGCGAAAGCGUGGGGAUCAAACAGGAUUAGAU